rnacentral:rRNA from 1 species
GAUGAACGCUGGCGGCGUGCCUAAUACAUGCAAGUCGAGCGAACAGAUGAGGAGCUUGCUCCUCUGACGUUAGCGGCGGACGGGUGAGUAACACGUGUAUAACCUACCUAUAAGACUGGGAUAACUUCGGGAAACCGGAGCUAAUACCGGAUAAUAUAUUGAACCGCAUGGUUCAAUAGUGAAAGACGGUUUUGCUGUCACUUAUAGAUGGAUCCGCGCCGCAUUAGCUAGUUGGUAAGGUAACGGCUUACCAAGGCAACGAUGCGUAGCCGACCUGAGAGGGUGAUCGGCCACACUGGAACUGAGACACGGUCCAGACUACUACGGGAGGCAGCAGUAGGGAAUAUUCCGCAAUGGGCGAAAGCAUGACGGAGCAACGCCGCGUGAGUGAUGAAGGUCUUCGGAUCGUAAAACUCUGUUAUUAGGGAAGAAAAAAUGUGUAAGUAACUAUGCACGUCUUGACGGUACCUAAUCAGAAAGCCACGGCUAACUACGUG